GCCGGUGUAGCUCAGGGGUAGAGCAACUGAUUCGUAAUCAGUAGGUCGCAGGUUCAAUUCCCGUCACCGGCAUCA
rnacentral:tRNA from 3 species